rnacentral:rRNA from 1 species
AAAAGCUAAUAAGGGCACACGGAGGAUGCCUAGGCAGCAACAGCCGAUGAAGGACGUGAUAAGCUGCGAUAAGCCGGGAGAAGAUGCACAUAAUCAUUGAUCCCCGGAUUUCCGAAUGGGUAAACCUGCAUGCCUGGAGGGCAUGCGUGAAAACGGCAAGCCUGCGAACUGAAACAUCUAAGUAGCAGGAGGAAAAGAAAGUAAAAACGAUUCCCCAAGUAGCGGCGAGCGAACAGGGAAAAGCCUAAACCGUGCCAGUGUCAAGCGGACAGCGUUGCUGGCACGGGGUUGCGGGACUUCCAUUAACGGAUUGUCAUAAUGUUUAAUCUGUAUAUGUGUAAGUGGAAUCAGUUGGGAAGCUGGACCAGAGAAGGUGAAAGUCCUGUAGAACAUAAAACAUAUAUGGAGACUGGAAGCACCCGAGUAGCGUCAGGCACGAGGAAUCUGGCGUGAAUCAGCGUGGACCAAAUCACGUAAGGCUAAAUACUGUUGUUGACCGAUAGUGAAGAGUACCGUGAGGGAAAGGUGAAAAGAACCCUGAGCAAGGGAGUGAAACAGAAUUUGAAACCGUGUGCUUACAAACGGUAGGAGCACGUUAUGUGUGACUGCGUGGAUUUUGGUUAAUCAUCCUGCGAGUUAUGGCUGGUGGCAAGGUUAAUAGACGGAGCCGAAGGGAAACCAAGUCUUAAUAGGGCGUCAAGUCGCCAGUCAUAGACGCGAAACCUAGUGAUCUAGGCCUGUCCAGGCUGAAGCUGAGGUAAGACUCAGUGGAGGGCCGAACUCACCGCCGUUGAAAAGUUGGGAGAUGAGAUAGGUCUAGGGGUGAAAAGCCAAUCGAACUAGGAGAUAGCUCGUUCUCUCCGAAAUGCAUUUAGGUGCAGCCUUGAACUGAGAUAUGUGGGGGUAGAGCUCUGUAUGAUCUAGGGGGCGUACUGCUUACCGAAAUCAAGCAAACUGCGAAUACCAUAUAUCAUGUUCAGGAGUGAGUCCGUGGAUGACAAGGUCCUCGGACGAGAGGGGAACAGCCCAGACCGCCAGCUAAGGUCCCUAAUUAUGUCUAAGUGGGAAAGGAGGUGGACAUUCAUAGACAACCAGGAGGUUGGCUUAGAAGCAGCCAUGCCUUGAAAGAGUGCGUAAUAGCUCACUGGUCGAGAGUGCCUGCGCCGAAGAUGUAACGGGGCUAAGACAUAAACCGAAGCUGCGGAAGAUACACUGUAUCUUGGUAGGAGAGCGUUCUGUAGGCCGUCGAAGGGAUGCCGCAAGGCCGUCCUGGAGGUAUCAGAAGCGAGAAUGCAGGAAUGAGUAGCGAGAAGGCGGGCGAGAAUCCCGCCGGCCGGAAGUCCAAGGUUUCCAGGGGAAGGCUUGUCCGCCCUGGGGAAGUCGGGACCUAAGCAUAAGCAAAAUUGUGAUGGCGAAUGGAAAACAGGUUAAUAUUCCUGUACCGCUGUUAUCGCUUGAGAGACGGAGUGACGCAGGAAGGUAUGCGAGAAGGCUGACGGUUUAGCCUUUCUAAGGGCCCAGCGUGGGCGUGCAGGUAAAUCCGCACGCCUAAACGUGAGACCUGACGGGGAAGUGCAUUUGCAUAAGUCGCAGAUCCUACACUGCCAAGAAAAACUUCUAUCGAUGAGAAGCAGCGCCCGUACUGUAAACCGACACAGGUGGACAGAGUGAGAAACUUAAGGCCGACAGGAUAACUCUAGCUAAGGAACUCUGCAAAAUAGCCCCGUAACUUCGGGAGAAGGGGUGCCUGACAUACCUGAAGGAGAGAAGCGCUCCCAGGGGAAACAGGCCGCAGUGAAGAGUCUCAAGCAACUGUUUACCAAAAACACAGGUCUAUGCUAAGCUGAAAGGCGACGUAUAUGGGCUGACACCUGCCCAGUGCCGGAAGGUUAAGAGGAGGAGUGAGAGCUCCGAUUUGAAGCCCCGGUGAACGGCGGCCGUAACUAUAACGGUCCUAAGGUAGCGAAAUUCCUUGUCGGGU